UGUGUGCGUGCCUGCAUUCGUGUGUGUGUGUGUGUGUGUGUGUGUGUGUGUGUGUGAACUAGCUCUAUCUACUGGAAGCUGUGACUCCCAUCUUCCAGUCAGAGCACUGUAUUUCCUUGGGCUCUGUGAUUGGCUUAGGGCUGAAGAAAUGCCCAUCGGAAAUGCCAAUGAGAGACCAGGGGAAUGCCUGGCUGGCUCGACCUGGUCUCACUUCACAGACCUUCCAGGUCACACCUUUGCAUGGAGUGACUCAAGGAAGCUUCAAGUGAAGAAAGAGUUCCUUAGAUUUUGGCUUUUAACUCCAUAGAAAUCCAACCCAUUCUCACAGAACUGCCUAUACCCAAGUCCCAAAUUACGUCUUGGGAGGACUCUAGGCUGACCCCAGUGUUGAGAGGUUCUCCCGGUGGAGAGUAGACCCUUCGAGAACUGAAGUUGUGUCUUGGUGUGAAGGGAGGGAAAGGUGGAGGGUUCUCCAGGGACAAGGAGGAGAAUACCAUCUCUGCCUGGUGGAUCAAGGAGGGCUUUCUGGAGGAGGUGACGACAAAGAAGGCCCUGAAUGAUGUGUAGAAGUCUGCCCAGGGGAAGUUAGUCCGGUACCCCAGAGAAAAGAUGAGGCUGGGCGGUUGGGGCUUAGGACUAGUCUGUUUGGUGACAGGAGGAUGAUGCUUCGCCAGGGAGGGUACGGUGAUAGGGCUGUCACAGCCUGCAUACUGGAGGGGAUCCUGAGGUCAGAUGGAGGCAGAACUCUUGCAUCCUUUUGGAUCUGUCUUUUGUUUUCCACUUCUUAACAUGGCAAGCAUCUAGCUUUAAAAGAUCCAGUGACCUUUGCCCUCGCAGGUCAGGGAUAGAAGAAUUUGGGGAAGCAAUGGCUAGCACCCCCCCUCCCCGACUCCCAAACCAAACACUGAUCUAUGGCUCUGCGCAGGGAGCACUGUUACUGAGUUCAAAAUAAGAAAACUCUAAGUGUUGUGCUCAGAACCUACAACUCUAGUGCUUAAAGACUUAGGUACAAGAAUAUCUAGUUUGAGGCUAGUCUGGGCUUCAUAGGGACAUCGUCCCCAAAACAAACAAGCAAAAGUAAAGCAGCCAUGGCUUGGGAUGGAAUUGGGUAGUAGAGUUGUUACAUGGCUGGAUGGGUUUGGCCCCAGCACUGUCAAGAAAAACAAACAAACUACCACGAGUAAUUUUCUCCAACCAAAGUGUAGGGGUCACUUUGCCCGACCUCACUAUCAGCUCUGCGGUCGGAACCUCCAGUCAGCACCCUUGUCUUUCUGUCCCUGCUCACACUCCCCUUCCUCCCAUUGGCCAGGUGGCACCAGCACCUGGGGUUCUUGUGGCCUAGCACUGGUGUAUGUCUGACUAGCCUUGCAGGGAUGGCCCAUGGCUGGGCCCAGACGAAGGCUCUGGUGAAAGUAGAUUCUGAACUCUGGUGCUGGGUUUAACUGAUGAGCCGUGGGAGCCCAGGGUACAGCAUUGCUGGGAAGAUCCUGGCGUAGCUGGGGAUAGAUUCUGGGCUCCAGAGUGGCUGAGUUACUUCAGUGCAUGCUCAGCCCGUUUAGCUUUCUAGGCUCUUUCAAUCGAGACUCAGUCUGCCCCUUCUUGUUUCCUAGCCUAUAGCACCCACCCCCACUCCUAGCUUCCAGCCAAGAGCCACUAAGUAACUAUGUAACUAUGUAACGCCUCCAGUCUGCCACUGCCUGUAGGAUAACCUUUCCUGAGUGAAUGAACCAGUGAGAGAGUGCCCAGUAUAGAACCAACUACAGCUCACUCUGAAGCCCACUGCCCUCCCCCGUGAGAGUGCAGUUCCCUUCUCAACCUAGAGGACUCUGGAAGGAAGCAGCAGGGACCUCUGGAGACGCCUCCAUCCAGAUAAGUUCCAGGAAUGCUUAGAGCCCAUUGCAGAGGUUAAGGAUCGGGCUUGGACUGUCCAGUGCUCUAGCCAAUGGGCUGUGAUAAAUGGCUGAGAAGCUAGGAGAACCCGGGCUCUGGCUCUAUCCCCAUUGCCCACUACUCGAUGAAUUCUGCAGCCUCAAGAGAUCACCUCGUGAACACAGAGAGGCCCAGGUUGGAGCUCUGGGAGCUAAUACCUCAAGCCAAAUACUGCACAGAGGUACCAUCAGCCUUCGAGGCUGCAGCUGCCUCUGGCUGAGAGCCAGACCUGAUGGAGGAAAGUGCAGUUGCAUAGAUGGGGACACCCCACCCUGGUAUCAGUGGCUCUGAGAUCAACUGGUUCUGUCUGUGGGCACUGCCCAGUGACCAGCUGGGCCUGUCUCGGAAUGUUGUCUAGAGAGAAGCUGCAGUCCCCGGAGGGCAGGCACUGGAAAGCUGUCCCCACUGCAUGGCACGGUGGGUAGACAACAGCUCCAUUAAAUGGUUCCCAGGUUUACAAGUGGCCACAUAUAUUGUUCUAAGAGUUAGAGAGACAGGCUGCUGCCAUGUUUGUCUUUUGUUCUCAUAAAGGGGGUCAAGACCCUGGGGGAGAGGGAGCAGAUGAGCAUUGGCUUUGACCUUGAGGCUCCGCACUGGCCAGACAAGGGCCCCUCUAGCUCCUUACGCCUCACUCCCCUGUCCUUGUGCGUGGAGGGAAAGGAUCCUCCCAGCUUCUGAGACUGUUGUGAAGAUUAAGUGAAAGGUCACGUCAAACAUCUGAGUGGAGGGAACCCAAACAUCUGCCUUUACUGUCGCAAACAACAAGUGUCCUGCUACAGAGCCUGGCAGGCUCAUCCCCUGAAGAGUCAGCUGUGGCCCAGAGUCACUAGUGCAAGUCUGCAGGCCCAGCUACUCUGGGGCUGAGGCAGGAGGAGUCCUCGACAACAGGAGUUCUUCUCAAGCGCUAAGGGCCCCAGAGGAUUCCCUGACACUUAGAGAAGUAACUGCUAAGGCUCCGGAACCCUGGGGGACACCCCAACCUCCCAGCUCCAUCUACCCAUGUAAGUGACUUCCAUACUUCUGGUUCUGGGAGGAGAAUUACCAUCUGGGCUACAUGGACUCUGCCCCUUCCUGGGGUCCUUCCUGGAGCCUUGGUCAUGCACAGACCCCUCCUCUUAUCCAUCUCUUCCUCCACUGGCUCACCACUCACACCUAUCAUCAUUGUUAUUAUUUUUGAAGCAGAGCUGGUACUUACUAAGAGAUCUUAAUAUAGAUUUCUUUUAAGCACAAGGGUGGAAAGAAAGAAAUGUUCUUGACGAGAAAGCAGCACAUACUCCAGGAAGAUAUGUGUAUAGGCUUCUCAAAGGACAGACACACCCCUCCUUAGUUUAUUAAGAAUGCUGUCUUCUUUUACAUCUCCAACCACAACCCAACCCAAACCCAACCUGAACUCAACCACAACCCAACCCAAACCCAACCUGAACUCAACCCAACCCAAACAAACUCAUCAACAAUCUGAAUCCACCCUCAACAGCAACGGAACCUCAAGGCAACCCCAAUCCUACCACAACCUCAACCUCAAACCCACUCCCCCUCAACUCACCUCUCUUAAGGUUGUUCCUAUCAGUGCUUUCUAGAGAAUGCUCUGUGGCACUCUCCAUGAUACCCUGUGGCCUGAGGGACUAAUUCCAUGUCCUUUGGUACGGCCCUCUAGGCUGCCCCCUGAUCUGUCCCCUCUGUCUUUUUAGCUACCACGUCUAUGGUUUUGGUCCUUCAUUCCUCCAGGACCCUGUGUGUGUACAGGCCUUCUCCUGGAUACCUGUCACAGAGAGCUGCAGGCAGCACAUGGAAGCAACUGCAAGAAAAGUUCAUUGUUGUCAGCAAAGCUAGACGUCAGACAUGGAGCUCCAGGAUUUGGAGUUUACCCUGCUGGGUCUCUGUCCUGGGGCAAGCGUAUUCAAACCACCACACCCUCAGAAACUGUAAGCCUCCAACAAACUCUUCUGUAAGUUGCUUUGUUCAUGGUGUGUUAUCAUAGCAGUAGAAAAAUAACUAAAACACCUGUUCAGCAGCCGCUUUAGGAUGCUGUGCUGAGCUAGCCUCUGCCUCUCUUGCUGUUCCUAUUGCAGGUCUGUUGACCUCUGUGCAUGACUGGCUGAAGUGUGGUCCUUUGCUGUCAUCCACAGAGACUCUUUGCUGCCCCUUGUACCUUUCUUCAAGCACAGUCUCUCAGUGCAGUGCCUGUGGGUGACCCUACUGCAGCAUCUGACUGUGCAGUUCUCUCAGAAAGAGGGGUCUCAGAGCUCCAGUGAGGUUCUAAGAAAGCUCCUGGGCUUCAGGGGCGGUGGCCUCCCUGUUGUGUGUCCCUAGCAGGGCUCCAUGUCAGGCCCACCUAAGUAUUCUCCCAACACCUGGGAGGGCACACAACUUCAGCUCACAGAUUCAGGGGUCAGGAUCUUAGAGUGGAGCUGAGGGGGACAGAGGGUUGGAGUCUAAACCAAUUGGAUUUUCAUGAGUAGGCCCUGUUCUGAGCUAAGGCUGGUCCCAUAGUGACCUAUGGGGCAGACUGGACACUGGCCUAGAGUGUGUCUCAUGUGGCACAGAUGGAGUUUUGCAGAGAACUCCAGUCAUGCCAGCUGGGGGUGUGUGGGCAGGAGGCAGCCAGUGUUGUCCUGACUCAGGGUCUGUGGGGCCGGGGAGUGAGCUGGAUGGCAGGAAGUCCACUAUACAGUGGUCCACUGCAUAGCCUGUCACUUACAAAGCUCCUUGCUCUCUCUCUCUCUCUCUCUCUCUCUCUCUCUCUCUCUCUCUCUCUCUCUCUCUCUCUGUGUGUGUGUGUGUUUGCACAUGUGUGAGCAUGUGUUUCAAGAGGAUUACAAUUACUAUUCAUAGUCACUGCAAGCUUUGGAAGUGCCCACCAUCUAUGGUUCUUACUUUUGUCAUCUACAAAAUAGGAAAGUAAAGAGCCCAGUCCCCCAAAGUUUGGGGACACAUCCUUUGCAAGGAUAGCUGUGACUGAAACCUGAUGGUGUCCAGAGUUUUUUUGCCCUCCUGCGUCAUCAAGGCAGAGAAAGGAUGUCCAGUCUCCAUCUAGAACUGCAAGGGAACACUCAUGCACUUGUUGCCUGUGCAACCAUGAAAAGGGGACCAGAUGCACCAGCAUUGUCCUGAGACACUGAACUGUGCCCAGCACCUACCACUUGACUGUAUGGUAGAUAGAAGCUAACAGCUAGAAGCUGUGAUUGGAGAUUAGGAUCAAGGUAAGGAGAAAUUAGUUAUGAGAAAAUAGGUGAGGGAGAAGAAUCGUGACUAGUGUCCAGGAUCAGAAAGGGAAAGUCAGCUACCCGAUGUCACACAGCAAGAACUCACAGCAACAGGGAAGUAGGAUGGAAAAAAGGGAAAAAGGAAGUGGAGGAGAGAAGGAAGGAAGGAAGGAAGGAAGGAAGGAGAGAAGUGAACUUAGCAUCUCCAUUGUAACGUGCAUGUCAUGUGCACUGACUGAGCCCUCCAAGCCCGAAGACAGGAGGAGCGACUUGCUUUGGGUCUGCUCGCUUUCCCCUCUAUGGACGCUCAGCUGGCAGCUUGCUUGUUGAGACCACACACUUGGUUACUGGGAAGCCAGCAUUUGAACCCAGGCCCAAUGCCAAAGCCAGUGUUCUUAGCGGCACAGCUGCCUCACACCAGACUUUGUGUGUGGUUUGUGUGAAAGAGCAUAACCGUGGAUGCCACUUGGGAGCCCUGGAGAGCAUCAGGACAGAUGGCCAAGCCGGUUGUUGGAGACCCGCUGUCAGGCUUCUCCACCCCUGUCAACCAGGUGUGAAAGCCUUCUUUUUCUGGGGGUGCAGCAUUAGGGUUGGAAGAUGUGUGCCCCUCGGACCUCAGUUUCCCCAGAUGUAGAUGCUGUUAGAUUUGUGAGGGGCUGAGCAAUUCCCCCUUCCUCCUGCCUCAAGGGGGUCCUGAGUAGAAAUUUGUUGGGGGGGAUCUUUUUGGGCCCCUCUUCUUCCUACCAAGGUGUGAGCCACCCAGGGACACGGGGCUCGCUGUCAUGGCAACCUUGUGUUGCGAAAUGACGUAAUUGGAGUUCCAAACUUGUGAAAUCAAAUACAACAUCCACAAACACAGUCCAGGGGUCGGCAUGGCAACCAUGGGGCACAGGGACAGGCAGGCGCUAGGCCUGCAGCAGUCAGUCUGGCCGAGCCACCCAGGUGGGCACGCUACAAGACCCUCUGGGGCACCCCUGCACCCCCUCUCAGCCAUUGCUUCUCUCUCUUCACUUCUUUGGAGAAUCGUGUGCCCCAAGGUGCAAAGACGUCAGUUUUGGCUCUGCUCUGCCCCACACUAGCUGUGCCCUUGCCCUGUGACCCUGCCUAACUCACCUGUCAAAGGGACUUGGUCAUCCACCCAGUUAGGCAAGCAUCAGGCUGGGUGGCUGGGGAGUUGUCUGGCUCCGUGUCUGCUGUCUGUCUGCUCCACUGCCCCUUUCUUUGUCCGCUAUAAACAGACCCAGGAGUGACGGGGCCUGGAACGUGGAUACUAGCUGAUCCUCAGGCCCUGAUAGCUUCCCCUGUGGUCUCUUACGGGAGGGAAGGCUUCUCUCUCAUAUAGGCCAUGGCUACCUGCUUCAGUGUCACCUGGAAGCCAAGUUGAAAAAUGCAGGGGUCUCUUCCACCUUAGGAGAACCCCAGGGACAGCCUGCAACAGGCACACCUGGACUCUUCUGAGAACCAUCUGCCUGGCUCUAAUUGGCUUUUAAGAUCCGAGUACCUGGCUGUGAUUGGUUGGCAUGAUGUAGGUGCCUGGCUCUGAUUGGCUACCUUCUGGGACUUAGGUUUUGCAGCAGUGCUCCCUCCAGACCAGUUGAGCCUUCUCAGUCUUCCCUUAGUCAAUAGAGUUUUUUAGCCCUGAGUGACACCCUUACAUGCCUCAGUGUCAGAGGUAGGUCUUAGCAGCAGAGAUCCCCUAUCCCACAGACACUUAGCCCCAUCACUCAGUUGCUACCAUGUAGUAAAGACAGUCCUGCAUCUCCUGAAUUGCUGUGGGGUCAGGCAAGGAUGGCAAGAACAUACCUUAGGGGACAUGUAAGCACCAGACACCAGGCUGGGUGCUAUGCCCAGUAACUUAUUUGCUCCUUAGUUCAUAGUGCUUGGUGCAGGGUCCCUCCAGCACCAAGGCCAGGCACUGUCAUGGUGUCUUGGCAAAGGCCUCCAAAGAAAGCCAAGCAUCUAUGCUGCAGUUGUCUAUCCCAAACAUCUGCUCUUAGCCAGGGAACAUGGAGACUGGGGCCCCACUUGCUGCUCCUAGUGAGGUGGGGGCAGUUCUUCUCCACUGCAAGCUGAGGAAACAGACUCAGGUGAGGACUCACAGAGAUGCACUCAGCAAGUAACCAUAAUGAAAUCUGAGCCUCCUAGGUUACAGCCAAGGACACCCCAGCUCUUGAUCCAGUGCUCUUCACGAUGAGCUUCAGCCUGAGAUGUGCACUGGCUACGUGCAUCCUACAUCUGCCUCUGACCGUUCUGAGGACCCCAGGCACCCAUCCUGUCCCAGCUUCUUGGAGUUGCCAAGUUUCCCCUGGAGACAUGGAAAUGGCCUUACCUGUCUGGCAAUGAGGACUGCAUUGAGGCCCAGCAAGGUGCCGGGAAAUUGGAGCCUUCGGAAGCAGGUGCGCUGGUGGCCAAGGGUGGUAUGGCAGAGGGUUCCUCUCAUACGACCUCAGCCACCCUCAACCACCUCCCAUAUACAAACAUGCCAGCUGCUGUGGGAAGAGGGUAGUGAACAAGGAGAGAGGAGGAGGGCAGCUGGAAGCCACCAACGUAGUCAAGCUCGGAGGGGUGGGGCCUGGACCAGGACCAGGACCAGGACCAGGUCCAGGACCAGGACCAGGUCCAGGACCAGGACCAGGUCCAG